rnacentral:rRNA from 1 species
CCAGACUCCUACGGGAGGCAGCAGUGGGGGAUAUUGGACAAUGGGGGAAACCCUGAUCCAGCGAUGCCGCGUGAGGGAAGAAGGUUUUCGGAUUGUAAACCUCUGUGGACAGGGACGAUAAUGACGGUACCUGUCAAGAAAGCCACGGCUAACUACGUGCCAGCAGCCGCGGUAAUACGUAGGUGGCGAGCGUUGUCCGGAAUUACUGGGUGUAAAGGGAGUGUAGGCGGGAAGGCAAGUCAGAAGUGAAAAUUAUGGGCUCAACCCAUAACCUGCUUUUGAAACUGUUUUUCUUGAGUGAAGCAGAGGCAAGCGGAAUUCCUAGUGUAGCGGUGAAAUGCGUAGAUAUUAGGAGGAACACCAGUGGCGAAGGCGGCUUGCUGGGCUUUUACUGACGCUGAGGCUCGAAAGCGUGGGGAGCAAACAGGAUUAGAUACCCUAGUA